rnacentral:snRNA from 1 species
GGAUGUGAGGGCGACCUGGCUGUGACAUCUGUCACCCCAGUGACCGCCAGGGUUGAUUCUGCUGAUCUGGCUGGCUAGGCGGGCGUCCCUUUCCUCUCUCACCGCUCCAUGUGCGCCCCUCCCAGAACUCAAACAAGCUCUCAAGGUCCAAAUGAGCUACCCCUUCCUACCCAAGGUCUCUCGAAGUUGGUACAAUGAGCUUUAGUGGUUAAUUACGUA